ACAUAGCCACUAGAAAAUACAAAUAUUAGAGGUAAUACCUGCCCGGUGAGGACCAACCCUUUAACGGCCGCAGAAAUAAGCUGCGCAAAGGUAGCAUAAUCACUUGUCCCCCAAAUAGGGACCCGUAUGAAAGGUCACAUGAGAAAGAACCUGUCUCCCAAGGCCAGUCAAUGAAACUGAUCUGCCAGUACAAAAGCUGGCAUAAAAAAAUAGGACAAAAAGACCCUGUGAAACUUAAAAUUUGUUAUACAACACCUAAUUGAAUAAAAUUUUUAGUUGGGGCAACUUAAGAAAAACAAAACUUCUUCACCACAACCAAGGCCAACAAGCCUAAGACCACAACCACACCUUCAUGACCCAGUACAACUGAUCAAAGAACCAAGCUACUCCAGGGAUAACAGCGCUACACUCUUGAAAAGUCCAUAUUAACAAGAGUACCUACGACCUCGAUGUUGGAUCAGGGCAACCCGAUGGUGAAAAAGCUAUCAAAGGCUCGUUUGUUCAACGAUUAAAGCCCUACGUGAUCU
rnacentral:rRNA from 1 species